CUUCUUUUUCCCCGGAGCUUGCUCCACCGGAAAAAGAGGAGUGGCGAACGGGUGAGUAACACGUGGGUAACCUGCCCAUCAGAAGGGGAUAACACUUGGAAACAGGUGCUAAUACCGUAUAACAAUCAAAACCGCAUGGUUUUGAUUUGAAAGGCGCUUUCGGGUGUCGCUGAUGGAUGGACCCGCGGUGCAUUAGCUAGUUGGUGAGGUAACGGCUCACCAAGGCCACGAUGCAUAGCCGACCUGAGAGGGUGAUCGGCCACAUUGGGACUGAGACACGGCCCAAACUCCUACGGGAGGCAGCAGUAGGGAAUCUUCGGCAAUGGACGAAAGUCUGACCGAGCAACGCCGCGUGAGUGAAGAAGGUUUUCGGAUCGUAAAACUCUGUUGUUAGAGAAGAACAAGGAUGAGAGUAACUGUUCAUCCCUUGACGGUAUCUAACCAGAAAGCCACGGCUAACUACGUGCCAGCAGCCGCGGUAAUACGUAGGUGGCAAGCGUUGUCCGGAUUUAUUGGGCGUAAAGCGAGCGCAGGCGGUUUCUUAAGUCUGAUGUGAAAGCCCCCGGCUCAACCGGGGAGGGUCAUUGGAAACUGGGAGACUUGAGUGCAGAAGAGGAGAGUGGAAUUCCAUGUGUAGCGGUGAAAUGCGUAGAUAUAUGGAGGAACCCAGUGGCGAGGCGGCUCUCUGGUCUGUACUGA
rnacentral:rRNA from 1 species